ACGAGGGCGUCGUGCCUUUAUAAGACUACGUUAAUGGCGUUAAUGUUUCCGUGGAGUUAUCCCUUUCAGUUGUUGUUUAUUGAUUGUUAAACAUGGCUUCAUUUGCAAAGGUGGUUGUGUGUUUCCUCAUUGCUUGUGUCUGUAAUUCAUUCUGUUUUGCGAAGAGAGAUGUGAACUUUAAGGCAUAUGCAGUUGACCGCCAAAGUGAUGUGGUUGUCACCACAACACCCAAUCCCCACAGCCAGACCACAUCUGCCCAUACUGAAGCUGGUGGUGGUGCAAGUGAAGAUGCUACCACCCUAGCACCAAAUCCCCAUAAACAAACUACAUCAGGCCACACUGCAGCUACUGAUGAUCCCAGUGAAGAUGCUUUGGCUACCACCCCAACACCACAUCCCCCAACUACAUCUGACCACACUGCAGCUACCGAUGAUCCAAGUGAAGAUGCUGUGGCUACCACCCCAACACCAAAUCCCCCAACUACAUCUGACCACCCUGCAGCUACCGAUGAUCCAAGUGAAGAUGCUUUGGCUACCACCCCAACACCACAUCCCCCAACUACAUCUGACCACACUGCAGCUACCGAUGAUCCAAGUGAAGAUGCUUUGGCUACCACCCCAACAUCACAUCCCCCAACUACAUCUGACCACACUGCAGCUACCGAUGAUGCAAGUGAGGGUGCUGUGGCUGUCCAAACUGGAACUACUGUAUCCCAUACGACUGAAGUCUGAUUCGACUGCUCCUCUGGUCACAAUGACCUGAGUCACUGUCUGGACUUUUUGCCUCUACAUGUUGACUGCAAUAAAGGACAGAUAAUUAUUAUUAUUA
ensembl:lncRNA